ensembl:lncRNA
UGAAGAAAUGACACUUUGCUACAAUGUAAAUAGUGAGUGUACAGCUUGUGUAACAGUGUAAAUUUGCUGUCUGCUCAAAAUAACUCAACACACAGCCAUUAAUGUCUAAACCGCUGGCAACAAAAGUGAGUACACCCCUAAGUGAAAAUGUCCAAAUUGCACCCAAUUAGCCAUUUUCCCUCCCCGCUGUCAUGUGACUUGUUAAGAUCGGAACCCUAAAACUGUCAUGUUACAAAGAUGGAUACGGAAGCAAGCGCAGAUCUUCAAACAUUUAAUAAACAAACAAACAACAAAACAAAGACACAAUAACACGAGGCAAAAUACUAUGGCAAAAACUAAACACAGAAGUGUGGACAAAAGCAUAGAAAAAUGAUACUUAGGCGAUACCUAAGACAAG